ACAUGCGCAGUACAAAUCUGGUUUCCGGGACGGAUCGGGUAGUGACAGCGACAAGGGUAAUGAGAUGGCAGAUAUGGCGGCUCAAAGGGCGUUAAGGAGGGAGGUGGAAUUGGCUGUGGGCAUCGGGAUAUCUGAAUGUCGCUUCAUCAUCAGGGAGGUCGUUCCAGCUCAGUGGCAGAAGCAGUGGGAGAAUGAGGAAAAAGGACGCCAUUACUUCUCAAUACAAAAUAGUGUAAAGGCAGACCAGUGCUAUCUUGGAGCAAAAACACUCUGUGCUAAUGACAAGACUUGGACACUGUGGACUGGCAUGGGAUUUAGCUAAUAUCGGCAAACAUAAGGACGGACUAUGUGGAGUCUGCAGGAAACGGCAAGCUGUGAAACAUCUGCUUAUGGAGUGCAGCCUGUUUGAGGAACAAAGAACACAGUUAUAUGCCAAGUUGUCACACGAGGGAAUGGAAUCAAUUACAAUGAGGAGUCUCCUUAAUCCCAGAGAGAACCAGGCAAGGACGGUGAACGCAUCCUUCAUUUUGUUAACUCCACAGGAUUACAUCUUUGGAAGUAGGAAUGGUCUGAGUUCUGCAUUCUCACCCUGACGACCUGUGAGAGGCAGCAAUGUGCCGCAAGGCAUUCAGCUUGCCGGAUGCCUUGCGGCAAGAAGAAGAAGAAGCAGCAGCAGCAGCAGCAGCAGCAGCAGCAGCAGCUUCGCAGCUCGCAGGACAAUACGUCUGUCUCCGCCGGAGUUUACUCAAAUGUGACAAAAUCAAAACAACAUGUGGCUCUCUCUGCUGAUGCCGUGUCUCCUGAUAGAUUCGUCCUACGGUGUGAAAAAUAUCGCGGUUGAACCCGGACAGAAUGUCACUCUGCCAUGUAAAGUUCCCAACAACAGAAAAACCAUCACAGCUGUAAAGUGGAUCAGACCUGAACUGGGGAGGGCUAUGUUCUUUUCUACCGAGAUGGACUCUUAGAUCCAGAAUACCAACAUCCGUCUUACGAGAACAGGGUAGAUCUGCAGGACAAAGAGAUGAAGGAUGGAAACUUUUCUCUGGUUCUGAUGAAUGUGACGAUGGAGGACAGUGGAACAUACGAGUGUCAGGUUUUUCAGAAAGGAACAAAGCGCAGGAAGAGAUUGAUUGCAAAGCCUGAAACCAUGAGCAUCAUCAACCUGGACGUUCAUCCAUCGAGAGAUAAGAGUGGAAUCAUUGGAGGACCGGUGGGACUAGGUCUGUUUCUUAUUGCGGUGAUGGCACUAGUAGGUUUUGUGAUCUAAAGAAGUCAGACCUCCCUUCUCGUUCUCCUCCUACUGAUGAAGAAGCAGGAUGUACGAAGUUGAACUUACUGAAUAGGGGUUGAUGUCUGACAGCAGUUUGAAGAAAAGGUGGAUUCGGUUGUUCAGUCACACAGUGAUGAUGGGAUCUACUGGAGAGAGUCCUUCCUGCUCUGGCUGCAGCUGCUCUGAGCAAACUGUCAUGUGCAUUAAACCAAAGUGCAAUUCAUAUGUGUACAUAUUCUUACAUUUUGUGUUGUUGGUAUCCUUGUGUGUAUUUUUUCAGAUUUAUAUUGUGUGUGUAUAUCUCUUAUUCUGUCUUUAAUUUAUCGAUGUGUUCAUCACGUUACAAACUUCUCCUUUAUUCUAUUCUUAUUAUACCAUGGAAAUGAUGAACUGGCUUUAUUGGACACAGAAAAAUAUUUCUGCACAAAAGCUGUAAACGUGCAAUCGGAUGUCUUGUAUUUGUGGUCUGUUGUCUUUCCUUUUUAGACUGUUUUCCUCUCUUUUAAUUAAUCUUUCUUAUAGCCAGAAGCAUUUUGUCUUCUUUUGUUUUUAUUAUUUUUCUGACUGAUGCACUUUGACUCGGUUGUGUGCAGUUUCAUUGUAGUACACAGUGACAAUAGAGAUAUUCUGAAUGAUUUAAUUUUCUUGUUCUGCUUUACUACUGAAACUGUGAAGGGUCACACAUCUCACGCUUUAUUUUGAUUGUGUUUAUGUGCCACUUCAGAGCUCAGUAGUCUGGAUGGGGUUGUAUGGAGCUACCAUAUGUUUACUGUGUGUGGGGAUGAUGUAAAGUUGUUCCUCUGUUCUCCUUCUGCUCCUUUUCUCUUUGCUUCUGAUGUAAUUCUGCACUUUUCUGCAUUCCCUGUCCUUGUGACUGAAUUACAUUUUUUUUUCACUGACAAAAAAACAUUAAUGCAAGAAAAUUAUGGGUUUUGGUAAUCUGAGAAGAAUAUAUUGUAAAAUUGCAAUUACUUUGUUUUGUGUUGGUCAAAACCAGUCACAAAUAUAUCUGAACACAUGGAAUUUGCACUUCAUUGUGAGUUGAAUGCUUGUGUUUUGUUCCUGUUCACAUGUCUUAGGGAACAGUAAUUACCAAUAACAUUUAAUGUUAAAAAUGAACCUGAAUUCAGAUUUUUGUUUUCCCUCAGUUCAGCUCAUUUCAUUUUAUUUGGCCUUUGGAUAUUAAAAACAGAGUGAUUUUGGUAAGACCUGUUUAGAUUUGCCAUACAUAAGAAAAACUGCAUUAAUUAAUAAGAAGUCAAAAACCUUUCAGAAAAAAAACCUCAUCAACAUGCUUUGGCCUUACACUCCCAAUGUUUGGUCACCCUUAAUGACAGGAUGUCUCUUUAUACAGAGAGAAGAGCUAAUCUGUCCACUGUACUCUCUGAUCCCUCCUCUUAAAGUUUAAGGAAACAUUUAGUUUUGUACAAGUACAAAAUGAAAAAUGUGUGCAUUUGCAAUGAAAUUUCCAUCACAUAGCCAAUUUGCAUUUGAUUUUAAUUGUUAAAAGAACAUCGGGCAGAAUGCUUGGCCCUCAUGUAUGUUGACCUCAUCAAAUCUGGCCCUCUGUGAAAAAAGUUUGGACACCUUUGAAUUAGCUGAACUGUUGUUUUAACGUCAGCCUGUUUGUCUCGAUGCACACCAACACUCAAACUGAGAUGACCAUGCUGAACUGGAGAUCUCAUCACAAGCAAGUCAGAAUGUCAUGUCAGUCACCAAACUUUGAUGUGCAGGAGGUGAGUUAUCACCUUCCCUGUGACUCUGCUGAACAAGUCCUCUGUUUGGAGGAAAUGUGCGUCUUCAGAAACAUAUAAUAACAAUAAACUUUAUUUGUAUCGCACCUUUUAAAAACUGAGGUUUACAAAGUGCUUUGACACAGACAGGAACAUAAAAGCUUCACACCACAAGAAAGCAAAGAACAAGAUAAUUUAAAGGCCAGAACAUUUAAGACAUACACAAAAUGAAAAUGAAAAAACACGUUAGAAUUGUCACAUAUGAACGCACAGCUACACACAGGAAACAGAAACUGCUGAGUUGGCAGCAGAAAAUCAUCCUGUUUUGUAGCGAUGGUGGUAUAGUGGUGAGCAUAGCUGCCUUCCAAGCUGACCUGGGUUCGAUUUCCAGCCAUCGCAGAUGGAUUUUAUUUGUCACACUGUUUCAGAUCAUCAAAUGAGUAUGCUUAUAGGCAGUACUCCAAAGAUUGAUCCAAAUGGUAGUUUAAGUUUACUGAAACAUGUCACUGAUCUCGGAUGAAGAGGAUGAAACUGUGUCUGCUGCCUUUACAGAGGGGGAUCCAGAAAGGCAUACAGAGAGCAUGGCUGGACAGCAGCAGGAUGGUUCCUCAGCUUCCACUGCACAGACUGACACAGUGAGAUGGAUGUUCAGGAAACACCAGAGCUUCAUUCUGUGGAAUUCAUGUGCAACUGUACAAUUUAAUGUCCUCUAUGUAUUCCCAGUUAUCAGUAAAACGGAUUUACAAACUGCAUUUGCUGAGAAAAAUCCAAAAAAAACAGAUUAGGAGGGCAGAUCUGGAAAUUGAAAUACUGGAGCACAAGUUAGAGGUGGUGAUGGUCACAGGUGAAUUAUGUUCACUAUUGGAACAUGAACUGAACUAUCUUUUAUUUGUAGGAAAUAAAGAAGAGCAAAUGAAA